ACAUAGACUGCCCACCCCAACUCACGCCCUGACCAAUUAACUAAAGACAAAAACAAAGGAAAUACAGGUCAGAACGUGACAGAGGCCCUGAACCUGAUUUCUUGACUCACGCAAUUACAGGCAGCAGCUUUACAUCAGGUGUGUAAUGCCACCUGGAAUAAUUUCAGAGCUGAACAGUGAUGAUGAUAUAAUACAGUACCAUUUAGCAGACAGUUUUAUCCAAAGCGACUUAGAGUCAUGCGUGCAAACAUUUUACAUACGGGUGAUCCUGGAAAUUGAACCCACUAUCCUGGUGUUGCAAGUGCCAUGCUCUACCAACGUAGCCACAGGACCUGAUUAGGGUAUGAUAAUAGGUAAAGGUAAGGGGAAAUGUGUUAAUAUGGUGAAGGCUAGCCUGUUUCAUUGUUACGUCUGCAUUCCAACAGGUUUCCAACUGCACUGAUGUCAGCUCAUGUAAGUUUCCACACUAUACUCAAAAUCAUCUGCUGUUCCCCAUCUGUCUGACACUGAUAGUCUGAGUCCCAAGUGGCACCCUAAUCCAGUCCCAAGUGGCACCCUAAUCCCUAUAUAGUGCCACAUGAGGAAUAAUAGGGUGUCAUUUGGGACGCAGCCUGGUGGAGACUUACCUGCAGACGUGUCUUCAGCUUGUCCUGGAAACACUCACCAUGGUCCUAAGGAAUGCUGGGAAUCAUCGCCCAGUUACUCUCCAAGAGGAGGUUGCUUUAUUUCAGACGCUGAUGAUGACGAGGUGGAGGAUUAUCACCAGUGUCAACAGGGUGGAUCCUCUAAGUCACAUUCAGAGAGGUCCUGUAUUGAAGAGAUCCCUGUCCUCAGCCAGGCCUCAUCACAUUGGAGCACACAACAACGGGGUCACCCUCAGUCUCAACCCAGACCGUACACGCUACCCACUAGGCCUCAAUGCACAGGGAACUGUGGAAACAACCAGAGAGAUCAUAGAGACCAGAGAGCGUUGGAGAGCUUCGACUACACAGAGAGACGGUCAGGCUGUGUAGUUACAGAUGACAGUAACAGCCAGGUUAGGGUUAUAGGCGAUCAGCAUGUCCCACCUCGUCCUCUAUCUGAAUCACAGAGCUCGGCGGUCCGCCAGCAAAAAAUGGCAGCCACCAGAACACAAGAAACACGAGAAAUGGGGACACAGACUGUCACUUCGAAAUGUCCAACAUCCGAUGUUUCAACUCAGUGCAGUUUCUGGACUUGAGUGUAAAGAGAACAACCUCGUGGAUUCCCGAAUCCCACAACAAUUCUGCUUACAAUGUCAUACCGACCCCAACCACCAGAGGGCAGGCCAGUCACAGAGAUGAGUCUAUGAGUCUAACAGACAGACAGAGCAUUAUCAGACAGAUCCAAGAGGGAGGGAGAAGAGCCUACGCCCUGGAGAAAAUCAACAGCCAGAGAGCUCAAGGCUGGACCUGGGCAUCACCCAUCAAUCAUCCCUUUAAACAAGUGUUGUAACACGAACACUGAGAAUAGAGUGUAUUCAGAGACCCACUACCUCUGUCCUAGACGCUCCCCUCGUCGCCAAUGAUGUAGAAGCCUUGAGAGGUAAGCAGCUUCAGCAUAGAGGACAGGAAGAAGAAUAAGAGGUACAGGACCCUGUUGAGAAUGUUCCUCUUAGAGAAGACCUUCCAGAUGAGAGAGAGGAGAAAAGGAGAGGGAGAGCAGAGGAGAGGGAGGAGGUCACUGCCUGAGAGCAUAGUUAACAGGCUUUCAGAGGAGGUUGAGACACUUCAGGAAAUAGAAGACAUUCUGCUCAUGCUGAAGCAGAGGAAAAAGAUUAGUGAAAAGUGAAGGAGAGGAGAGAGGUGGGGAGGACAGGAGAGGAGGGGAGGUAAAAUCCCGAAGUAUCCCUUUAAGAGUUGUGAACAACACUAGCAACUACAUCCCUUUAGCACAGGAUCUGUUUCUGCAUAUUUAAACAUUUAUAACAAUGCCCUUGGGAUUCUACAUUAAAACGAAAGCCAGACACUGCAAGAUAAUUAGUUUAUUUAUUUUUCCCCGAUACAUAUUCAAGUGUUCAAGAUUCUCAUGAAUAUAUUUACUUUGAUAGAAUAUAAAUUCUAGCAAAACAUUUACAGCAACAAUAAUCAAAUGUAUACUAUACAGCGCUGGAUAAAUAUUUGUUUUAAGUCUUCACUAGUUCUUCUUCAUAACCUAGAAUUGAAACACUGCAUUUAAUUUGUUUUCACAUAGAAAAAAUUGCACCCGUUCACCAUAAACACAUUGGAUGACCCCAUUUAGGAAUUAAAGCAAAGGCAAUAUAAUAAUAACACAAUGGGUUGUCAAGCGGUUGUGACCGUCUUAAAAUCAAAGUGCAUUCGAAAAUCACAACACAUCAAAUAACUUGUUUGACACUAUCUCAUUUACAUGUUUGUUACAUGACGACAAUGUUGUCGCCUCUGUGAAGGGGGAUGUGCAUAAAGUGUUGUUUCUCUAAAAAAAACUCUGUGAUAAUAAAAGCAAAAAGUUAUUCUGUCUUCCAGUGAACCUCCAGUUUAGUCUACCUAUAGUAUCCUCUCUUUUCGAAUCACAUUUCUAAUCAAAUACUCAAAUAUUGAUAAUAAAUACUCAAUAAUCCGAUAUUGAUAUUGUUGUUCCAAUGAACUGGCAAAACACAUCUAGUGAUACCUUGAAAUGCUGUCAUUUCAUUUCAGUCUAAAGAAAAUCCUAUUUGAAUUCCCAAUAGUAGCUAUCUAUCUUGUUUUGUCACAGACAAUAACACACAGGCAUAUUCUCAUCGACAUUAUGUUGACCACUUUCAACGAGAGUCUGCUACACACAAAUCUUGUACUCGAGUACUCAACUAAAAAUGUGUCACCUUACAUAGUUUAACGAUAUAUAAAAGGACAUUAGCAAGUACAGGGCGGUACUCCUCGAAACCUUUAGAACACGAGAACCCCAGCUCUUUCACGUGAAGAGUGUGCAUUGCGAUUUGUUUGGCUGUGGAGGAAGACACAACUUACAAUGGAGACAAAAUAAGACAUUCUUUCUGACAUUGUUUUCCCAAAGAGCAACUAUGUGUGUAACAUUAACUGACUAAACUGUCCAUUGUGUAUAGGUGUAUAGGUUAUUCUCUCUGAUGGACUGAGUAACCCAAUGAAUAGUCUAGUCAACAUUUAUCAAUAAAA